rnacentral:rRNA from 1 species
GCCCGCUCAAGAAACUACAAUGAAUUGACGGGGCCCGCACAAGCGGAGGAGCAUGUGGUUAAUUCGAUGAUACGCGAGGAACCUUACCUGGGCUCGAACGUAAGAUGACUGUAGGUGAAAGCUUACAUCUCUUCGGAGCAUUUUACGAGGUGCUGCAUGGUUGUCGUCAGCUCGUGCCGUGAGGUGUCGGGUUAAGUCCCAUAACGAGCGCAACCCCUACCUUUAGUUGCCAUCAGGUUAAGCUGGGGACUCUAAAGGAACUGCCUACGCAAGUAGUGAGGAAGGCGGGGAUGACGUCAAAUCAGCACGGCCCUUACGUCCAGGGCUACACACGUGCUACAAUGGCCGAUACAGAGGGCAGCUACCUGGUGACAGGAUGCAAAUCUCCAAAGUCGGUCUCAGUUCGGAUCGGAGUCUGCAACCCGACUCCGUGAAGUUGGAUUCGCUAGUAAUCGCGCAUCAGCCAUGGCGCGGUGAAUACGUUCCCGGGCCUU